AGCGGAGGAAAAGAAACCAACCGGGAUUGCCUUAGUAACGGCGAGUGAAGCGGCAAAAGCUCAAAUUUGAAAUCUGGUACCUUCGGUGCCCGAGUUGUAAUUUGGAGAGGGCAACUUUGGGGCCGUUCCUUGUCUAUGUUCCUUGGAACAGGACGUCAUAGAGGGUGAGAAUCCCGUGUGGCGAGGAGUGCGGUUCUUUGUAAAGUGCCUUCGAAGAGUCGAGUUGUUUGGGAAUGCAGCUCUAAGUGGGUGGUAAAUUCCAUCUAAAGCUAAAUAUUGGCGAGAGACCGAUAGCGAACAAGUACAGUGAUGGAAAGAUGAAAAGAACUUUGAAAAGAGAGUGAAAAAGUACGUGAAAUUGUUGAAAGGGAAGGGCAUUUGAUCAGACAUGGUGUUUUGUGCCCUCUGCUCCUUGUGGGUAGGGGAAUCUCGCAUUUCACUGGGCCAGCAUCAGUUUUGGUGGCAGGAUAAAUCCAUAGGAAUGUAGCUUGCCUCGGUAAGUAUUAUAGCCUGUGGGAAUACUGCCAGCUGGGACUGAGGACUGCGACGUAAGUCAAG
rnacentral:rRNA from 1 species